AAUCAACGCUGGCGGCGUGCCUAACACAUGCAAGUCGAACGAGAAAGUGGGGGCAACCCUGCGAGUACAGUGGCAGACGGGUGAGUAACACGUGAACAACCUACCCUUGAGUGGGGAAUAACACCGCGAAAGCGGAGCUAAUACCGCAUAACAUCUUGAGCUCGCAUGGGCGAGAGAUCAAAGCCGAAAGGCGCUUGAGGAGGGGUUCGCGGCUGAUUAGCUAGUUGGUGAGGUAACGGCUCACCAAGGCGACGAAUCAGUAGCCGGCCUGAGAGGGCGAACGGCCACACUGGAACUGAGACACGGUCCAGACUCCUACGGGAGGCAGCAGUGGGGAAUUUUGCGCAAUGGGCGAAAGCCUGACGCAGCAACGCCGCGUGGAGGAUGAAGGCCUUCGGGUCGUAAACGUCCUGUCGACGGGGAAGGAAAGCCGAAAGGUUUGACGUGUACCCGUUGAGGAAGCCACGGCUAACUCCGUG
rnacentral:rRNA from 1 species